UUGAUCCCAUUUUAUCUGAUCCAUUUACAAUAUUAAGAUUAGACUAUAAUUAUGCAUUACAACGCAUAUAACAUGAAUGACUAAAACAAGACAACAUUCAUUCCGAAAUAAACUUCAAUUAUAGUUUAAUAACGUUUCCAAAACAAAAAAAUGUCUAAUAUUACAAACAUGCAUUAGAAAAAUAUAGACAUCAAAAUGGAUCUUCAAAAAACUCAGCAUCCCACCGACCCACUCAUUCAUAGAUCACCUGAAAAAAAAAAUCACAUAUAAGUAUAUAUUAAACUAAUUAAUGGAAAACUUUAAGUGAGUUAAAGAAAUACUUUCUUUUGUUUCUUUGAGGUUAGUCAAUCUUGUGUAGUCACCAAUGUUUCUACAGUUUCACAUAUUUAUUUAUAUAAAGAGUUAAGUGUAAUUCGAUCAUUAGAAACUAAAGUGGAAGUGGAAUGAUCUUACUCCUUGAGGGGCUGUUUGGCAGGAUCUGAAUUUUUAAGAGCUGAAUUUUUAAGAGGUCUGAAUUUCUAAGAGGGUCUGAAUUUUUAAGAUCUGAAUGUACAAAUGUUGUUUGGUUGGAACCUCUGAAUUGCAAUGCUGAAUUAUAAAAAUGACCAUUUUACCCUUCUGUGUUUUUUUGCUGAAUUUGACAUUUUUUAUUAUAAAAUAACUGAAUCAAUUUAUUGAAUAAUUAUAAAAAUAUAUACAAACACUGUAUAAAAUCCAGAUUAAACNUAGACAUAAAUCCAAAUCAAACAUACCAUUAUCAUUUCUUGAUUAUACCCAAAGCAGUUAAUUGCAAUAAUACAAGAAAAUCAAGAUUUUAUAUCACAAAUGACAAACCAAUUUUUAAUUGUUGUACCCAAAACAAUUAAAAGCUCCAAAAUAAUGAUAACCUAAAGUAAAAAAAUCUUCUCUUCUCUUGUCAAUUUUCACUUGUUUCCCAGAAUACCAUUUUUUGCGUAAACCAUAAUUUCUUUACUUAAAUUCACCACAUGUUCAAUAUAUAGCAACGUCUUCAGAUUUCAUCAAGGUCUUCAAUAUUUAUGUAAAAUCACUUGUUUCCCAAAAUACCCUCGUUAUUUUGUUGAACCUUUUUAACUAAUACAAAUAACAAAUUUACAAAAGAUAAACAAUAUUUAUGUAAAAUCACUAAAACUCAAAUACAUAAGAAAGUAUAAAUGCAAACUUUUAGGGGAUUAAAGAAACUACCUGCAGUAGGUGUAUGAAGGUAGAAAAAAUGAUAAUCUGUUUAAAAAAGUUAACAAGACAAGUAAAAAAGGAACAUGGGAAAACUUGACAAUAUAUAUGCAAAAUUAUAGUGACUCGAUUACGUUAAUUCUCAUAUGUUUUUUCUGUUCAUCUUCCACAUCUAACAGUCACAUGUAAGAUUCUUUGCAUGCACAACACAUCAAAUUGUUAAUCAUUUUUUUGGAAAAAAAAAGUCCUCAAUAACUAAUGUUGAUCCUUUUCCAGGGAAACACCAUAACCUUCAUUUUAAAUGCCUAAUUAUACUAGUAGUCUAGGGAGAUAAUCAUCAACUAAAUAAUACAUCCAACAUAUUUCUGAAUUUCUUGAGAUUGCACCAAAUCAGAUUUCAGAAAAAGAAAAAAAACAAAUUUUCACCUCAAUUCCAUUCCUGUGCAGUAAAAUUGAAAGUGGUCAAACAACCCUAGCAGCCGAUCAGACUUCAAAAUCGUGUAUCAUAGCUAAUAACAAAUUAGGGGGAAUGGUUUCAUGUGUAGACUAGAAGAAUAGAUUUCACAGAAAUCGAUUUUAGAAAAUUAGAGAUAAACAAACCCUGUGUAUCAAGGCGGUUCAGUGGCUAUCGUCAGCGCUGUCGAGGGCAGAUACCAUCACUGGCGACGAUGGCAUUGUUGAAGACUCGUGUGUGUGUGAGGUCGAAGAUGGGGGCGGCUAUGUUGUCCGAGGUCAACAACGGGAAGAUGUUGGCGGAUUUGGUCGGUGAUGAGAGGAGAUGAUCGACGCUGGAGUUGUUCGGAUGUGGGAAAAGAACAACGGGACGAUGAAUCGUAGAAUCGAUGUGUGUUGAUGGACGAAUGUGUUUGAGGGCAAAAGAGGGAAGAGCGUGUUUCUUUUUUAUUCAAAUAUAA
rnacentral:lncRNA from 1 species